rnacentral:lncRNA from 1 species
UCGAAUCCUUGCCUUUGUAUUUGGGUGUACAUUGGGGAAUGACGGAAGUGUCGAUAUGAGGGAUGAGGUGUGCAGAAAUCCCACUCAAAUGUUGGAUAACUGAUUCCGAGGUAUUGUAGUGGACAGUGGAGACUGGAGGUAGCAUCCCAUUGGCAUCAGAUUUGGCUUUUCUAACCCUAUAGGACUCAAUGGCCCAUACAGAAUCGCAUCUCCUGGAGUUAUCUGCAAGCGUCGAUAUGAGGGAUGAAGUGUGCAGAAAUCCCACUCAAAUAUUGGAUAACUGAUUCCGAGGUAUUGUAGUGGACUGUGGAGACUGGAGGUAGCAUCCCAUUGGCAUCAGAUUUGGCUUUUCUAACCCUAUAGGACUCAAUGGCCCAUACAGAAUCGC